rnacentral:rRNA from 1 species
UACGUAGGGGGCAAGCGUUGUCCGGAUUUAUUGGGCGUAAAGAGCGUGUAGGCGGCUUGGUAGGUCUCGCGUCAAAGCCUGAGGCUCAACCUCAGUUCGCGUGGGAAACCACCUAGCUAGAGUCCGGAAGAGGAGAACGGAAUUCCCAGUGUAGCGGUGAAAUGCGCAGAUAUUGGGAAGAACACCAGUGGCGAAGGCGGUUCUCUGGGACGGUACUGACGCUGAGACGCGAAAGCGUGGGGAGCGAACAGG